UACGGAGGAUCCGAGCGUUAUCCGGAUUUAUUGGGUUUAAAGGGUGCGUAGGCGGCCGUUUAAGUCAGGGGUGAAAUACGGCAGCUCAACUAUCGCAGUGCCCUUGAUACUGAUGGGCUUGAAUGGACUAGAGGUAGGCGGAAUGAGACAAGUAGCGGUGAAAUGCAUAGAUAUGUCUCAGAACACCGAUUGCGAAGGCAGCUUACUAUGGUCUUAUUGACGCUGAGGCACGAAAGCGUGGGGAUCAAACAGG
rnacentral:rRNA from 1 species